AGAAUCAACGCUGGCGGCGUGCCUAACACAUGCAAGUCGAACGAGAAAGGGGAGCAAUCCCUGAGUAAAGUGGCGACCGGGUGAGUAACACGUGACUAACCUACCCUCGAGUGUGGAAUAACAUCGGGAAAACCGAUGCUAAUACCGCAUAACAUCGGCGCUUUUAAGAGAUGCCGAUCAAAGGAGCAAUCCGCUUGAGGAGGGGGUCGCGGCUGAUUAGCUAGUUGGCGGGGUAACGGCCACCAAGGCGAAGAUCGGUAGCCGGCCUGAGAGGGCGCACGGCCACACUGGAACUGAAACACGGUCCAGACUCCUACGGGAGGCAGCAGUGGGGAAUUUUGCGCAAUGGGGGAAACCCUGACGCAGCAACGCCGCGUGGAGGAUGAAGCUCCGUUGGGGCGUAAACUCCUUUCGACCAAGACGAUAAUGACGGUACUGGUGGAAGAAGCACCGGCUAAACUCUGCGCCAGCAGCCGC
rnacentral:rRNA from 1 species